UUGAAAAUAAAGGCGUUUCUGUUUCCGUUUCAUAGAAUUCAAAAAGUGCAGUUGGAGGCCAGAUAUUCUCCGUCUGUAACAAGGAUUUCAGAUAUUUGUUCUCUACAUUUUGUCCAACUCUGACUCUAUUCGUAUCUACAUACGGUCAUGUUCGUGCUCGAAGAAUGUUAAAAAGAAAAUUGUAUGUUUCGCCAUAUACGCAGGUUGCGACAGAGGGAAAUUACAUCCAUUAGCAAAUUUUUUAUAUUUGCUCAAUUACGACUAGACCAGCUCAUAAAUAAUGAUUACGUAACAGUAAAAGUAACCAUCGAUAGUACCGGAAUAUACCAUAUAUAUACGGUUAACGCCGGACUGAACAGGAAGAGAUAGGCGAAGAAGUAAUGAUAGUUGAGGAAGGGGGGAUUAUAACACCAGAACAGGUAACGAGGGAAGUAUGUACAGGGUGUACAAAAAGUAAGUGUAAGACUACAAUAGAAUGAUUUUACACCUCUAAAUCGGUGAAGGUUUGUAAACAAAAUUUUGUGCAAAAUUGAUUUUCAAAGACAAUCCUUUUUUAUUGCAUUGUAUUCUUCCCAUUACGAAGAUGAAAAGUAUCAAAAGAAUCAUAGGUAGCAACUCAACUGUUUCUUUAGAAAACAAUGUUGAAAUUUUAAUUCUUCUGAAAUUGAAUUUAUUCAUCACAUUUAUACAUUUAUAUUCACAUUUAAUAAGAAAGUAGUAUGCUAUUUACGAAGGAACAAGAAAUUACAGAUUACGUCGUGAAAUACAGUGAGUCUUAUUAAUAUUUGGGCACUAUAGUAUUCUAUCUACUACUAAUCUGUAGAUUUGAACAUAAUUAAAUUAACGCACUUUUUGUUUUUAUCGUAAUAAAACAUGUAUUCUUCUUACGCAAAUUUUAUUUACUUAAACUAAAUAAUUUGUGGCAUAACAAAUAAUAUAUUAGGAAAUGUAUUAAUCGUUUGUAAUGUGUGUACUAAAUGUAUUAUUUCGCAAAAAUAUUCGAACAUUUAAUUUUCUACAAUGAUUUUACAUAAGAAACACAUAUAUAUUAUAUGAAUUUUUUAAAUGUCAAUACCUUCUUGGAUAGUCUUUUGUUUUAUUACAUGUUGUAAUCGAUUUGGCAUGUAUGUUAUAAUUUUUUGUAAAUAAUUUUGCAUGAUACACUUACAUUCUUCUAAUAAUUUUUGUUUUAAUUCUUCCUUUGACGUUGUCACAUAGGAGAUACAAGAAAUCACUAAAUUAACUGGUCACCAGUGAUUGAUUCGCGUCGUAGUUCGAACGUUCAUAAAUCAGGAAAUAAAUUCGGAGCUUUAGAUAUGAUAGUGAAGUUUAUUCAAUCCAACAGAAUAACGGCUCAGAGUGUGACAGAGUGUGUACGAUUCAGUGUCUUGCAAUACAAUGUCGCGUGCUGAUUUUGGGAGCGUUUUUAUGUGUUACGGUUUGGGCCCUCUGGAGGGGCUGCCUUCGGUCGCAGGUCAGAAGCGCCCACUUUUCCACUGUCAUCUGGUCACGGUCCUUUGCGUCUGCAGGAUGUUUCUUCUUUGACACAGGGCCAUCUAAUUGUCAUCUUAUAAUCCCGUGACAACGUAAUUGGUCUCUUCACUCUUCACAAUCAAUUAAGGUAGGAAUUAUUGGGAACUACAUUAUUCGUCUUGUUAAUUUGUCAUUGCAGAUAACAAGUACAACAUGUUUGCAAUUUCUACGCUUCAAUCUCCUAAGCGAAUUACAUGAAAUUACUAUAUAUCACGAACCGGUUCGCCAAUUUUUGAACGUAAUUUAUGAGCUGGUCAUCGUGGACAGAAUUCAGACUUGUUCUUCACAUGCAACCUCUUUGUUCGUGAGAUUUAAGGGCAGUGAAUCUUUUUCUGUGAAAGAAGGAAUUGUUUACGGUACAAGUAAACAAAUUACAUCCGUUGAACAAUUACAAUUUCCGAUUGAAUAUGGUUUUUGCCGUACAAAGUCAAUACGUAUUUUAAGAGGUAACCUGAUGGAAAUAUCAAAGAGAAGAGGAAAGAAAAAGUAAAGAAAGAAAAAUAUGGAAUAUAUAGGGUACUUAACCUAACUUGAUCGGCUUAAGUAUCUCGGUUAUUUUUUAUGAUGGAGAAAAAUACCAGAAGAAGAGAAUAUUCGGUACGAAAGAGCAAAUGUGAUAAUGGACAAAAAAAUUUUCUCAAGAUCAAUACUUCGAAGACCUUGAAAUCUCGAAAAAAAGUGACCUCGAGAAAUUUUUUUUUGCCUAUCACUACACUUGUCUCUUCGAACUGAAUAUUCUUUUUCUUUGAUAUUUUUUCCUAUCCUAAGAAAUAAGAGAGAUAUUUAAAAUGGUCAAGUUAGAUGAAAUACAAUACAAGAUCAUGUACAAUAGAAGAUCUCAUGCACCCACGUGCAAUAAUAGAUCGUAUUAAAUUUAUGUUGCAUUUCGCAAAAUAUUCUACCAAUUUCCAUCGUUAAGGUAAUCUAAUUGUAAAUAGUUUAUGUAACAUUUUGUUGCCACCUAUAACCGUGACUAUUUUGUUUAUGCUUUAUACCAGUAAUAUUUCUAAAAUGUGGUAUUUCUUAUGUCAAAAUACAAUCUUCUGUUAAGUUCGUAGUAAGAUUAUAUCACACGUUUUUUCGUAAUGUAAUAAAUUAAAAAUCAGAAUUAAUUGAUAACGAACGUCUUAAAUAUCAAAUAAACAAUACUAUCAAAGCAUUGUUAAUAAUAUUCUGUGAUAUAUUUAUAAAGAUUGCUAACUUCUUGAUAGGACGUUUACCACAAAUUAUUAAAUUUAUAUAAUUAUACUGAAGAUAAACCAUAACUAAUUUACAGAAAUAAUAAGCUAAUUUACAUAAUAAAUAUGUUUCAAAUAACUUCAAUUUUAAAAAAUAAUAAACAUAACUUUUGGCCAUCAUCUAACGUCUUACUUAAUUAUUAAUAAUAUUAGUUUUAUUUAGUCUAUUAUUUUCUUUCACUAUAAUAAUAAUAUUCUUUCUCUAUUUAUCAAUCGAUUUUGUUUAUUUCAAUAAAUAUGUUUUAUGUCAGAUCAUGCAAAUGUGGAAAUUAAUAUAAAUAAAUAAUAAUGAAGAGAUAGAAGAAACAUAUUUGAAUUUUCACGAUAAGAAAUAGAAAGUAAGAUAAGAUAAUGUAUGCUAGUUUGCAAAAGCAAAAGUACACGUAUUUUUAAAAUCGAAGAUGAUAAGAUCUACAUCGUGACAGGCAAUUGUGAAAUAACUUGCGCAUUUGAAAUGCAUACAUUAACUGUUAUCGUGACUCGGUUGCUUUAUGAUAAGAAAUUACUAUAUUUAAUAUCAUGUGUUGCACACUUUACUCUCUAAUGCGGUAUCUUGAAACAAAUAAUGGGAACUGCAGGAAGUGAUGAACCGAGUUUGAAUUAGUGCUUUCUGCUCCGAUAGUCUCCUUCUUCAAUUAUUAAUUAUAAUUAUUUAUAGCAUAGUUACGAUUAUUUAAUUAGGUCAACCAAAUGGAAAUAUGUUGUGAUAUGAUCUAUCAAAUAAAAUAAAUUCUUUUAUGUCAAACUUACUUUUACUAGAAAUUUCUAUUUAGUUACUUUUACUUAGAAUUGUUGUCAAAGGGAUAUUCAAUAAAGCAAACUUACGUUGCAGAAUAUGAUUAAUAUAUUUUUAAAUUGGUUGUGUUGCGUCCGGUGACUCUUUAUGUAACCCAGAAUCCAUCCCUCCGUCAAGGUGACCACUAGCUGUGCAAAUAUAGUUAGGGCCCUUACUUGUUAUAAAAUAUAUUCAAGUCGAGAUGUUCCUUAUUGUUAUUGCUAUUGAAACCGCGAUGAAUCACUCAAAUAAUACCAGUAAUUUACAGAACAUCCCAUCAGACCUUAACGCUUUUCUACUGAGUCCACAGAGCGCCAUAUCGAACAAAUCUCUGAUCUCAAACUUCUCCCUGGAGUUGCCCUCGCCUCCAACGAAGUCAGUGCACUCACCAAUAUCGAACCAAGCUCCAAUCACGGAUGCCACGACGCCCAACAUCCCUUUAUCAACUAUGACACCCAGCACAAGCAAGCCGAAAGAAAGAUGAGAACGAGAAGCUCGUACUAACUCAAAACACUAUCAAAGAUCUGAUAUUUCGGAGUCUCACUAUCGAAAUCUUUCGGGAGAUCAAUUAUCAGACUACGAAGAAAUUUGGAACCCUCCAGAGCAAUCAAACCGUUCCAUCUGGCCUACCAGGUCCACCGAUGAACUCGCCAGGAAGGACGAACCAGCGCAUUCCUUGCACAGUCCCAGCAUGGUGACACCUCCCAGAAACAAAUUAGGCUUAAUGCUGGCCAAUUCAGAGCCUGCAAAACUACUUACCCAGCAACUGGUCUGUAAAACCAGAGUUUAGUCAGAACAGUCCGUUUUACGGGGAACCAGCUGACGCUAUCGCACGCAAAGCGGCGAUAAUAUCAAGAAGACCACGGCGGAACAGUCCAGCACCAGAUAAACAUCGACACAGUGAACCAGGAUGGGUACAAACGCUAGCAGCUGUAAAUUCUAAUCUACCACAUCCAAUUGAAUGGAAGGAAUCUGAACAAACGGCAGAUAAGAUGCCUCUGAUUUCUUCUUCGGCGGAUAAUUGGAUCAAGAGACUCUGUUCUAACGAGACGAAGAAAAGUCCACGGGUCAAGCUAGUGCUACCAUUAAGGAUCAUCACCAAGAAAACACGGUUCGGAUGGAUCGGCGGAGGGAGUCCUAUCUCCCAAUCAACGGUAAAGAUCCUUCACGUCUCCACGUCGGAUCUUCAUAUGAAUCUUACUUGCUUUCAUGAAAUCGACGAGGUGUUCAACGACACUUCCUGGGUUGAAGUGUUCGACAUUACCUGGGCUGAGCUGUUCGACACACUACCAGGUCCGAGGUGGUCCACGACACUUCCUGGGCCGUGGACUUCAACUGGAAUUUUCUUGGCAACGACAGAGACAACGACGAUCCAGACUACGAGGUAGACAAUGUGCCCUCAAUAUCACGGCUCUUCGGCCGUGUCAUCAAGUUCAUCCUGGCGACGGCAGCAACAUCCGGACGAACACAGUCAGAUGGCAACGAGCAUCCUGUAUCGAGGCUUCAAGUGGCUCGCUUCACUACCGAGCCAGCCCAAUUUAGCGGAAUACGGCUAACUAUCAAUCGACAAGGAGUUUGAUGGGAGAUCCAAUUAAUUUUAUCUUUAAAAAGCUUUUGAUUGGUACCCUCUGAACGGGGGGAGGAUGUUACGUCCGGUGUUAUGUAACCCAGUAUCCAUCCUUCCUACAUAAUUUUUUAAUACAAUUGUACAUAUUAGACAAUAAGCAAACUAGUUGUCAUAUCCUGUUAUAAAAAAAGUAACAUCUAAAAAAGAUACAAUUAACACUUUACAGUCCACAGUUAACGCUAGAGCUGAACUGUAUCUAUGUAUAGCACAAUUUGUCUUUAGCCAUGCAUAUUUCAUUGUUUUUCUGACCAUGUUAUAAGCAUUGAUAUCUAAAAAACUGCUCAAAACCAGUAAAAAGAAAAUAGCGUUUCAUGUGGUUGGAACGACUCAGAAGGAUUUUUUCUGUACAAAGCCAUCAGAAAAUUCAAUCAGUAAAGGAAAGGUUAAAAUUGCAGAAUUAGCAGUAAAUUGGCUUAAAAUGUAUUGGAUAAAGUUAGAAAGGUCAAAACGCAACAUUACAAGAUUCAAAUAUGAUUUUAACAAAGAUGCAGAGUUCAAUGUCAUUAAUAGUUAAGUGGCUAACAGAUAGAUCCAGUAGUUCUGAAAAAUGUGGACCAACCUCUACAAUAUCCUAUGGCAGUGUAGCAGAUUUGUGACAAAAAGAGAGAUGUGCUGAUCCUGUUGAAAUAAAUUCCUUCCAUCAAACACGGUUAUUAAAAGGAUUUCAGCAUAAAUUAUGAUAAUGAGUGCUUGAAUAGGUCUAACAAAAACUACAUUAUUUAUCUUGAUGAUAAUAACAUUAAAAUCUACACACUAGUAAUAGUAGUCUCAUAUAAUAAAAUUUUGUUUAAAUAUAAAUUUGAUAGUAUUAAGCAUUUUCUUUUUAUUUUCAUAAGCCAAGCCGAUUAACUGCCUUAAUUAUGCGAAAGUUGUAAUAAUAUUAACAAUUAUU